GUGCUUGGGACUGUAGAAAGCAAUGAAAUGUGAAUUUGGCCAACAUGUAUCAUAAAGAAGGCCCUGAUAUCACAACCCAAACCAUCUCUACCUAUUUCCUUAAUUUAGGCAGCAUAGUAAUUAUCAGUCCUGGAUGUAAAAUUAGGGUAAUUACUAACUG